UUAUCCAAAGGUUUAAGGCUGGGGGGGGGGAAUCAACAGCCCCCCCCCACAAUGGGAGCAAACGGAGAGUGAAGGAUGAGGGAGGGUCCAUUCAUGGCGGGGGAUGAAUGGGGGGGUCUCAUUCAUCUCAAGUUGGGUCCCAUUCAUCUCGUUUUGGGUCCCAUUCAUCUCAAUCUGGGUCUCAUUCAUCUCAUUUGGGGCCUAUUUUGGGUCUUAUUUGUCCCAUUUUGGGUCUAAUUUGUCUCAGUUUGGCCCUUUUUGGGUCUUAUUUGUCUGAUUUUGGGUCUUAUUUGUCCCAUUUUGGACCAUUUUUAGUUUUAUUAGUCUCAUUUUGGGUCUCAUUCAUCUCAUUUUGGGUCACAUUUGUCCCAUUCAGGCCCAUUUUGGGUCUCAAUUUUGGCCCUUUUUGGGUCUAAUUUGUCUCAUUUUGGGUCUAAUUUGUCCCAUUUUGGGUCUCAUUUGUCCCAUUUGGGGCCCCUUUUGGGUUUAUUUGUCCCAUUUUGGCCAUUUUGGGUCACAUUCAUCUCAUUUUGGGUCUCAUUUGUUUCAUUUUGGGCCUUUUUGGGUCUUAUUUGUCCCAUUUUGGGACCAUUUUAGGUCUCAUUCAUCUCAUUUUGGGUCAUUUUGAGUCUAAUUCAUCUCAUUUUGGGUCUCAUUUGUCUCAUUUUGACCCUUUUGGGGUUUAUUUGUCUGAUUUUGGGUCUCAUUUUGGCCAUUUUUGGGUCUCAUUUGUCCCAUUUGGGCCAUUUUUGGGUUUAUUUAACCCAUUUUGGCCAUUUUUGGGUCUAAUUCAUCUCAUUUUGGGUCUCAUUUGUCCUAUUUUGGGUCUCAUUCAUCUCAUUUUGGGUCUCAUUCAUCUCAUUUUGGGUCAUUUUGGGUCUCAUUCGUCUCAUUUUGGGUCUAAUUUGUCCCAUUUUGGGCCCUUUUUGGGUCCCAUUUUGCCCAUUUCUGGUCUCAUUUCUGGCCCUUUUUGCCCUUUUUGCCCUUUGGGGGAUAAAUUGAGGGAGCAGGGGGGUGGGUCUCAUCCCAUUUUGGGUCUAAUUUGUCCCAUUUUGGGUCUCAUUCAUCUCAUUUUGGGUCAUUUUGGGUCUCAUUCAUCUCAUUUUGGGUCUCAAUUGUCCAAUUUUGAGUCUCAUUCAUCUCAUUUUGGGUCUCAUUUGUCCCAUUUUGGGUCUCAUUCAUCUCAUUUUGGGUCAUUUUGGGUCUCAUUUGUCCCAUUCUGGCCCAUUUUGGGUCUCAUUUGGGUCAUUUUUGGGUCUAAUUUGUCUCAUUUUGGGUCUCAUUCAUCUCAUUUUGGGUCAUUUUGGGUCUCAUUCAUCUCAUUUUGGGUCUCACUUGUCCCAUUUUGGCCCUUUUUGGGUCUAAUUUGGCCCUUUUUGGGUCUAAUUUGUCCUAUUUUGGGUCUCAUUUGUCCCAUUCUGGCCCAUUUUGGGUCUCAUUUGUCUCAUUUUGGGUCUCAUUCAUCUCAUUUUGGGUCUCAUUAAUCUCAUUUUGGGACUCAUUUAUCUCAUUUUAUCCCACUUUGGGUCUAAUUUGUCCCAUUUUGGGCCCCAUUUGUCCCAUUUCUGGUCUCAUUUCUGGCCCUUUUUCUUUGGGGGGGGCCGUUUGGGGGCUCCAACCACCGUCAGCUUUUUGGGGAGGGCGGCCGCCGCCUUCAUGGCCACCUCGUGCUCAAUGCGCAGCCGGAUCCCGACCUCCAGGCUCUGAAAUGGGGGGGGGGGCACAAAAAGACCCCCAUUAACACAUGGGAGAUAUUAAAUGGGGGGGGGGGCACAACAAGACCCCCAUUAACACAUGGGAGAUAUUAAAUGGGGGGGGGCACAACAAGACCCCCAUUAACCCAUGGGUGAAAUCAAGGGGGGGGGGCACAACAAGACCCCCAUUAACACAUGGGUGACAUCAAUGGGGGGGGCACAACAAGACCCCCAUUAACACAUGGGUGAAAUCAAUGGGGGGGGGCACAACAAGACCCCCAUUAACACAUGGGUGACAUCAAUGGGGGGGGGCACAACAAGACCCCCAUUAACCCAUGGAUGACAUUAAAUGGGGGGGGGGGCACAACAAGACCCCCAUUAACACAUGGGAGAUAUUAAAUGGGGGGGGGGCACAACAAGACCCCCAUUAACCCAUGGGAGAUAUUAAAUGGGGGGGGGCACAACAAGACCC
rnacentral:lncRNA from 1 species